rnacentral:tRNA from 1 species
AGGGUCUUAUCUUAAUUUAAAGUACCUGAGUUGCAUUCAGGUGAUGUAGGUUAAUGUCCUGCAGGUCCUA